rnacentral:rRNA from 1 species
AUGUCCCAACCAAUCGAGUCUACAUAUCUCGGGAUGUUGUUUUUGAUGAGACCGUCUUCCCCUUUUCUGCCAUGCCUCAGUCAUCCACCACAACACCUUCUAUGCAUUCAUCUCCUCUUAUGCCUGGCCAAUUUGAAGAUGUUGCAUAUUCGCCUGUGUUGUUACCUAAUCAUGGUGCAGGAAUUGGACGUGGAGCUCGCCUGGAACUCCUCCCUGACGGACCCGCUACGUCGCCUGUGGUGCACGUCGAUCGGCCGGUGCAUGCGACAGCCACCUGGAUUUGUUGAUCACACUCAGCCUCAUCAUCUCUGUCAUCUGACGAAGGCCAUAUAUGGACUGAAGCAGGCUCCCCGUGCCUGGCAUGCUCGCCUGGCUUCAGCUCUACGCACUCAUGGGUUCAUUCCUUCGACGACUGAUACUUCACUAUUCUUGUUUCAGCGACCGAGUGUGACCAUGUACCUCCUUGUGUAUGUGGAUGAUAUUGUCCUGGUGAGCUCAUCCCCGACGGCUGCUGAUGCUCUUGUGACUGCACUUGGUCGUGAUUUUGCAGUUAAGGAUUUGGGACAACUUCAUUUCUUCCUGGGUAUUGAGGUCGCUCAUCAGUCUCGUGGCAGUUUGGCUCUCACCCAGAAGAAGUACUCUCUUGAUCUCUUGCGCCGUGCUGGUAUGCUCAAGUGCAAGCCAUCGCCUACGCCCAUGUCCUCCACUGACACCCUUUCUGCUGCUGAUGGUGCUCUUCUCUCUCCUGAGGAUGCUACUGAGUACAGGAGUAUUGUUGGUGGCCUGCAGUAUCUGACGAUCACGCGGCCUGAUCUCUCAUUUGCGGUUAACAGGGUGUGCCAGUAUCUUCAUGCUCCCACUGAUGUACACUGGUCUGCUGUGAAGCGCAUACUGCGUUAUGUGCGUCUCACUGUCUCCUUUGGUCUUCACCUGCGCCCCAGUUCCUCCGGAGUUCUUUCUGCAUUCUCUGAUGCUGAUUGGGCUGGGUGUCCAGAUGACAGGCGAUCCACGGGGGGACAUGUUGUGUUCUUGGGUCCUAAUCUGAUCGCCUGGAGUGCACGCAAGCAAGCCACUGUUUCCCGCGGCAGCACAGAAGCUGAGUACAAGUCGGUUGCCAAUGCAACUGCUGAACUUAUAUGGAUUGAGUCCCUACUUCGAGAGCUAGGAGUUGCUCAGCCACAUCCUUCGGUCCUUUGGUGUGACAACAUUGGUGCUACGUUUCUAUCGUCAAAACCGGUGUUCCAUGCGCGGACUAAACACAUUGAGAUUGACUAUCAUUUUGUGAGGGAACGUGUUGCACAGAAGCUACUACAAGUCAGGUUUAUCUCUUCAAAAGAUCAACUUGCGGACAUCUUCACCAAGCCUCUACCUUCUCCCAUGUUUGAGGUCUGUAGGCGCAAUCUCAACCUCCUAGAUACUUCAGGAGUGAGUUGA